CUACGGAGGGGGUUAGCGUUGUUCGGAAUUACUGGGCGUAAAGCGUACGUAGGCGGAUCGGAAAGUAAGGGGUAAAAUCCCAGGGCUCAACCCUGGAACUGCCUCUUAAACUCCCGGUCUUGAGUUCGAGAGAGGUGAGUGGAAUUCCUAGUGUAGAGGUGAAAUUCGUAGAUAUUAGGAGGAACACCAGUGGCGAAGGCGGCUCACUGGCUCGAUACUGACGCUGAGGUACGAAAGUGUGGGGAGCAAACAGGAUUAGAAACCCUAGUAGUCC
rnacentral:rRNA from 1 species